ensembl:snoRNA SNORD115 Small nucleolar RNA SNORD115
GGAUAAAUGAUGAACUUACAUUGUCUUGAAGAGAGCUAAUAACCUAAAAAUCAUGCUCCUUAUUUCC